CGAGGCAUAGCUUAAUAGUAUAGAGCAACGGUCUUCUAAACCGUAGGUUGAAGGUUAGAAUCCUUCUGUCUCGACCA
rnacentral:tRNA from 1 species